CAGAUAACUAUUCAAUGUUGGAGAGAGAUCUGGAGGAGCUCAGAAGCAAUUGCAACAGCAUGAAUACAUAGAAAGUCCAGCUACAGAGCAAUGUGUCUAACCGCUGUCUACAGGGCUGGGCACAGUUCUCUUCAAAGUGUUACUACUUCUCUAAUGAGAUGAAGAGCUGGGAAGACAGUCGCAGUGACUGCGUUAAAUGGGGAGCUGACCUGGUGAUUAUAGAGAGUGAAUAGGAACAGUUAAGGCUCUGUAAAAUAAUUGUGAAUGAUUGUGUGGAGAUAAAACUGACAACAUGCAUUCAUAAGAAGCCACUGUAAAUGUAAUUAUGUAAUAAUAUCUCAUCUUGUGUUGGUUCUUACAAUCUAACGUGUUCAAUAUCACCACUAUGGGUGAAUCGCAUUUAUCAGUGGGGUGUGGCUCAUGCUGUAGCUCAGUACAAUCAUGUAUAAUUUUAAACAACAUCUUGGCAGAUCAGAAAUAUGAAUGCUCCUCUGAUGGUAGCCAGUCUAAGGUUUAUGUUACUGCAGUGAAAUAUGUCACUGGGUAUGUUUCUGGUUAUCUUUAAUAUUGUUCUGUUUGUACGAUGAGGUUGAUUUACUGAGUACAGUUAAUCCAGAAUUGUCUUCCAACAAGAUAUAUUUCCGCUGUCUGAACUCUCUCAUAGAUGGCAAUAGACAGAGAAUGAGAAGGAGUCACUGUAUCUCCGUAGCAAACAGCAGAGAAAUAGAGCAUCUGUGUUUUUGCUUCCUUUACAGAUCCUUGGGGAAAGGAAAGUCAGAUGGUAAAAAUUAAUUUGGUUGUGCCAUGAUUGCCCCUAAUGUGAAUGCAUGGAAUGCUUCUCACUGUUCUUAUGACCAUUAUUUCAUCUGUGAGACUAAUGCUCUGCUCCCCUAAACCAUUUUUUAUCAUUGUAUGUUUUUGGUUCUCUCAUCUUGUGAGAGGCCGUUGACCAUGCCAGGUUUGACAGUCAAACACAGGACCAAUAAGCAGAACACAAUGUUACCAUUUUGUUGGGAAUAUAUGGAAUAUACAUACUGCUGUCUUUACUAGAAAUGUAUCUGUGAGACUAAGCUUUAUUAAAUGCAUUGAAAUGACUGUACAUGCAGACUAGAUUUAAGCUAUUACAUUAUUGGUUCUAUGGACAUAUUGUAAGUAUAAAAAAUCAAAAACAAUACAUUUGAAAUGGUCCUCAUCUUGCUGUUGUGAUACUGUAAAUUUAAAUUGAAAUAGAGAACAGCAGUCACUGCUAAAAAAGCAAAUGUGUUCAUUGGGCCUCAUUUAUCAAUAAUUUCGUAAAUAUGCACAUACGUUUCCCCGUAAAAUUAUACAAACGAACAACUGCCGCCGCAUUUAUCAAACGUUCGGAGGCACUUAGUUUCAGUCGUAUCCCUGUGUGUAUGUUGAUAAAUCCCAAUCAGUCGUAAAUUGGAAGCGCGUUCGCGGUCGCCUCAUUGUAGCACACCUCACGCGGUGACAGGGGGUCGGCCAGUGGGGUCAUCAACCACUGCUUCAGCGGGUAACCCAUGUGUUGGAAUGGCAUAAGAUCUUCUUGUUUGCCUCGUUAAGUCUGGCUCUAAGACGUUGCACAGCCUCAAUUUAGAAGGGUUCUAGGGAAUCGGAACAGACUCAUGAGCCACUCGUCAUCCUCAGCAAAAAAGUCAUACCGGUCUCUGAAAAUGCGAUCUCGCCGAAGUGCUCUCGCCAAAUCCUCUAAUAGUGCAAGGUCCGCCAUUGCAAGCUUGGACUUAACAGCAUUUUGGCCAUUUAAAUAGUAUUUCUCAUCAAUUAUUUAAAAAACAAAACUGCAAUUAUGAAAUCAUAGCAACUCUUUGUAAUGCUAUUACUCAUUUCAAACAUGUUUGUUUUACUUAAUUAAAAUAGUAUUCGCAACCAAUUUAUGUUAGUUUCUUUAUAAUUUAUCUUUCUUUAUGAUAUUUCAAUAUUUCAUGA